rnacentral:rRNA from 1 species
GUCUACGGCUAUGCCAGCCUGAGCAAGCACGAUCCUGUCUGAUCUCAGAAGCUAAGCAGGGUUGGGCCUGAUUAUUACUUGGAUGGGAGAUCAUCUAGGAAGACCAGGUGCUGAAGGCA